AACUAACGCUGGCGGCGCGUCUUAAACAUGCAAGUCGGACGGUAUCCUUUGAGCUUGCUUAGGGGAGAGAGUGGCGAACGGGUGAGUAACACGUGAAUAAUCUGCCUUCAGGACGGGGAUAACCUCGGGAAACCGAAGCUAAUACCGGAUAAGAUGUCAUCUGCGCAAGCAGGAGUCAUUAAAGAUGGGGACCGCAAGGCCUAUCGCCUGGAGAUGAGUUCGCGGCUGAUUAGCUGGUUGGUGGGGUAAAGGCCUACCAAGGCGACGAUCAGUAGCCGGCCUGAGAGGGUGAACGGCCACAUUGGGACUGAGAUACGGCCCAGACUCCUACGGGAGGCAGCAGUUAAGAAUCUUGCGCAAUGGGGGCAACCCUGACGCAGCGACGCCGCGUGGAUGAUGAAGGCCUUCGGGUUGUAAAGUCUAAUAAGCAGGGAAGAAUAAGCAUCGGGUAAUAUUCGGUGUGAUGACGGUACCUGCCUAAAGCCCCGGCUAACUACGUGCCAGCAGCCGCGGUAAUACGUAUGGGGCGAGCGUUGUUCGGAAUUAUUGGGUGUAAAGGGCGUCUAGGCGGGAAAUUAAGUUAGAUGUGAAAGGCGUGGGCUCAACCCGCGAACUGCAUCUAAAACUGGUUUUCUUGAGUUCGGGAGAGGAGAGCGGAAUUCCUGGUGUAGCGGUGAAAUGCGUAGAUAUCAGGAAGAACACCAGUGGCGAAAGCGGCUCUCUGGCCUGGAAACUGACGCUGAAGCGCGAAAGCGUGGGGAGCGAACGG
rnacentral:rRNA from 1 species